rnacentral:lncRNA from 1 species
ACCUAUAGUUUAAUUUUGGAAACAAAUAAAUUAAGGUCUAUGCUUAAAAAAAUUGUCAUAUAUGUUCAAUCUAGUUAUUAUAAAUCUCUCUCAGAUAUUAAAUCAUCACGAUAAUAGAGGCGAGAUUACAAAAUCUCUUCUAUAAGCAGGAGAACCAGGAUCUGGCCAACAACCUUCUACUCGCAUACGAAGCGAAGAUCCAAGCCGAAAGGUCGGUCAUUUUCGAGGUCUCUCGAGCACAACGACGUGCCAAAGAGAAGAUCGAGACGGAGACUACAAGGAUCUGGGUGGAGGCCGAAGUUAGGUUCUCGGGUCGUAUCCAACGUCUGAGAACUCACAUUGUUAAGCGUGAGGUGGCUGAUACGGUGAAGUUCGACCUUGUCCAGGCCAGAGGCACUCUGGAGUGCCUCGAUCUCUUGAAGGACGACGAGGAUCUGACCGAGGAAGAGCUGAGGGCUGACCUCGAGAAGACCAAGCGCGUAUGCGAGCUGAAGCUCUAGAGCUUCAGCCUCACUGAUCUAGAAAAGGGAGAUUUUCCACCGCCGUUUUUUGAAACUCCAAAUGAGGGCUCAGAUCUUGAAGAGGUUGACAAUCAAGAGGACCUCAAGAACAGCAAUCAGCCCGAGGAGUAGAUCGUCUCUUUUAAUGCUCGUCUUGUUAUUGUGCUUUCCUUUCCUUGUCGUUUAUUUUUUUCCUUUUCUAUCUCCAACCUCGAUUGUAAAUUUUCUCUUUCUUUUAUUAAUGAAAAACAUCUUCUCAUUUCGAAUGUUUUGUCGUUUAAGAGCUCGUGUUUAAGUUUCAAAUGAUUGAUCUAUAGAUGCGAGUUGAAAACUCG